GACAGAGGGUGCGAACGUUGCUCGGAAUCAUUGGGCGUAAAGCGCGUGUAGGCGGCAUCGCACGUCGGGUGUGAAAGCCCGGGGCUCAACCCCGGCAGUGCACCCGAAACGACGAUGCUAGAGUGCUGGAGAGGCGGGUGGAAUUCCUGGUGUAGAGGUGAAAUUCGUAGAUAUCGUUUGGAACGCCAAUGGUGAAAACAGGUCGCUGGGGAUGAGCUGACGCUGAGACACGAAAGCCAGGGGAGCAAACGGG
rnacentral:rRNA from 1 species